GAUGAACGCUAGCUACAGGCUUAACACAUGCAAGUCGAGGGGAAACGAUAUUGGAAGCUUGCUUCCGAUAGGCGUCGACCGGCGCACGGGUGAGUAACGCGUAUCCAACCUGCCCAUCACUUGGGGAUAACCUUGCGAAAGUAAGACUAAUACCCAAUGACGUCUCUAGAGGACAUCUGAAGGAGAUUAAAGAUUUAUCGGUGAUGGAUGGGGAUGCGUCUGAUUAGCUUGUUGGCGGGGUAACGGCCCACCAAGGCGAAGAUCAGUAGGGGUUCUGGUAGGAAGGUCCCCCACAUUGGAACUGAGACACGGUCCAAACUCCUACGGGAGGCAGCAGUGAGGAAUAUUGGUCAAUGGACGAGAGUCUGAACCAGCCAAGUAGCGUGCAGGAUGACGGCCCUAUGGGUUGUAAACUGCUUUUAUAAGGGAAUAAAGUGAGAGUCGUGACUCUUUUUGCAUGUACCUUAUGAAUAAGGACCGGCUAAUUCCGUGCCAGCCGCCGCCGUAA
rnacentral:rRNA from 1 species